ensembl:snoRNA
AAACCCCUGUUCAAUUGGCCAAAUGGAUUUACAUAUUAAUCUUUAUUGCUCAUUAACUGGGACAAAGGAAAUAUCAUUUUAAAACUCAAGCAACUGAGUGUCUUGUAUCCCGUCAGAGGAAAGAAAC